GGUUAUGGCUCAGUGGUAGUGCACCCAUCUGGCAUUUGUGAGGCACUGGGUUCGAUCCUCAGCACCA
rnacentral:tRNA from 1 species